rnacentral:rRNA from 1 species
GAUGAACGCUAGCGGCAGGCUUAACACAUGCAAGUCGAGGGGCAGCAUGACACGGAGAUUCGUCGAAGUGUUGAUGGCGACCGGCGCAAGGGUGCGUAACGCGUGAGCAACUUGCCCGUUUCAGGGGGAUAACCGGUGGAAACGCCGACUAAUACCCCAUAGCAUCAUGAAGAGGCAUCUUUUUUGUGAUUAAAGAAUUUCGGAAACGGAUAGGCUCGCGUGACAUUAGUUAGAUGGCGGGGUAACGGCCCACCAUGACUACGAUGUCUAGGGGUUCUGAGAGGAAGGUCCCCCACACUGGAACUGAGACACGGUCCAG